rnacentral:rRNA from 1 species
UACGGAGGGUGCUAGCGUUGUUCGGAAUUACUGGGCGUAAAGGGCGCGUAGGCGGCCGUUUGCGUCGGAUGUGAAAGCCCGGGGCUCAACCUCGGAACGGCAUUCGAUACGGGACGGCUGGAGACCGGGAGAGGAGAGCGGAAUAGCCAGUGUAGAGGUGAAAUUCGUAGAUAUUGGCUGGAACACCGGUGGCGAAAGCGGCUCUCUGGCCCGGUUCUGACGCUGAGGCGCGAAAGCGUGGGGAGCAAACAGG